AUAGUUGAAAUUGUAACUAAGGUAACAGGGUCAAUAGGGGAUUAAAUUCAUCAGGGACUAAUUUAGUAAUUUCAUGUUGUUUAGGGGUAUUUUGGGCUUUUGACAGUAGAAUAAAAUGCUGUAGAAUUUCCUAGAUCUUUCUAGAAUAAGGCUUAGGUCAAAUUUUUUUAAACUUAGGAUAGUAACUUGUGGCAUAAGUUAGAAAUUAAGGGACUAACUAAAUAAAAAAAGGACUAAUAGGAUAUAUAGAAGUUUUCAGGGCUGCCCUCUUGGUGCCUAUAAAAGGGCAUCAUUGAUGCCUUAAAACACAAGUUUUGAGCUCCAAAAAUUCCCCCAAAAAAGUUCUCUCUAGUUUUCCCGAUCUGAAUUUGAAGUUCAAUAUUCAAAAACAAAAACACUAGAAAACCUUCAAAAUUCCAUAAAAAUACUGUCCUAUUGUUAAACCUUUGGCUAGUCUCAAGUUUUAUUUAUUGAUUCACAUUCUUAAGUUUGAUCGUUGGUUGCUGAAGUUCAGAGGUUCAUUUCGAGUGAUUUUGGGUCUAAUUAAGUUAGUUUUUGUUUGAGUUUUGCACUGCUGAAGUUUCAGAUGUUUUGAGUUUAAUUCUGAGGUCGUUUGGGUUUAUUUGAGUCUAUUUUGGGUUGAUCUGUUAUUCCUGUUCAAUUUCAAACACUUUUGGAUUUUUGAAUUCAUUGCUGGACUAUUCUUUUGAUCAUCUGCUCCUUUAUUGUUCAACAAUAAUGGUCGUUAUACAUUGUUGUUGCAUUACUGCCUUAGCUGACCUCUUCUCCCUUUUUAUGUGCAAUUUCCAGGUACUUAAUCAUGAAACUCAAUAUUGUGUAAACAUUCAGCUGGAAAUGAAUUGAAGUGGAGGUAUAUCUCUAUUUAUUUGUUUUUUAGUUGUUCAGUGACUUUAUUGUAGUUCAAUAUAAUAACUACGGAUUGUUUUAGCUUGAGGACUAUUAAACUAAUUAAAUGUAUUCCAGGGAGCAUGAGAAUUCUGUAGUUAGCAGCUUGGUUCAGUUUAUGCUGUUAGAGUGUAGUGUAGAAUUUCAGAGGCCUUCAUAUGUACUUAACUGGAUUGUUUCUUUUUGGAUUGUUUAAACUUGUGAUCAUCUCGUUAUAAGUUUUGUAUAGUAGGUACAUGUUUAAUUUAGCAUUUACUUCUGUUUUAAAAAGAGGAAUCAGAAACUAUUGGAUCUGCAUUGGAUUUUGAAAUCAACUUUAAUUUCAAGUUGAACAUGUGUUGUACUGCAAUAGAUCAUAUCAACAGAGUAGCACUAUAACCAUCCACGACUGUUAAUUUGAAUAAGUGUACCCUGCUAUUUCUGGUUACAAGUUGUUGAGUGCAUUUAAAUAACCUGAAGUGACAUAAGUGAUUAUUUGUUCAAUUGGAACGAUCAAGGAUUGACAGCCCUUUCUGGAUAGUUUGGGCAAGUGCUUUAACAGACGGCCCAGGUCCUGUCUUUGUUAUGUGUUUGUGUGGACCUGGGCCUAUGCUCAAAUUGGCUUGCCUUUUAUGCAUACCAGAAUUAGGACUUCUUACAUGGGUUGUGUUCAAGGCCCAAACGGGUUAAAGGUCUGAAUUUUUGUAAGUUCACGGACCUCACAUACAAGAACAUCAACAAUAUAAUUAACUAAGCUUUUUUAGAGAAAAUCAAAAUUAGAAAAUCGUAGUGACUUUAGGUUUGCCCUUUUGAAUAAUAAAUAAGAUGAGCCUUGCCAAACAAAAUAUGUAAAUUGUGGGGCCCUCAAUAAAUGAUUUUAAUAAAAUAUUUAGACUUCGGGACGAGCAGUUUAGCGAAUUUCACGGCCUCCCAAAAGAUAAUAACGCAUUAGUCACUUUAGGUGUUUUAAUAAAACUACCUUCCUAAACUCGGGUGUGCAUUUCAUGUGACCCAAAUCAAAUCCCAAAAAUAUUGAAUAAGAUAUGUUUAGGAUUGCGAGUGCAUUUCAUGUGACGCGAUCCAAAGACAUGUUUAAAAUGACGUUCAACUUUGUUUCAAAUUUGAAUAAAAGGCGGUUAAAAGUUUAAAAUUGUCACACAGGUUCAUCAUAAAAAAUCAGAUAAAUACGCUAAACACGGCAGUUGAGGGACCGUGCUAGAACCACGGAACCCAGAAAUGCCUAACACCUUCUUCCGGGUUUACAGAAUUCCUUACUCGGAUUUCUAGUUUGCAGACUGUUAACAGGUCAUAAUAUCCUCGUUUCGGGAUUCAACCGGUGACUUGGGACACCAUUAAUCUCCCAAAUGGCGACUCUGAAUCUUAAUAAUAUAUUCCAUUCUGAUUGUUCUUUAAUUGGAAAAACUCUUUUAUGCCCUUGGGGGUGUAGUGAAAAGGAGGUGUGAAAAAUCCCUAACCCCCUAACACUAGUUCAUUUACCCAAAGACAGCCUUCUCUAAAUUCCCUUCGUCUCCCAGAACCUCUCUAGCCCUCCAAAACCCUAACCCUAUUCCACCGAUCUCUGUCUCAUUUCCACUGAAAUCCACGGCAAUCCUAGUCAUGGAUGGCCUAUACCUACUCUGCCUCACCCUCAGCUUGAGUUACUCGAAGCUUGGAGGCCUGACUUCCAUGGUUUCCUUUAGAUCUGUCUCAUAUCUGCAAGAUAUAUGGCCUUUACGACCAUUUCCAGCAUGUUCAAGGCAAUAUGCGUCUCUUCGACUUAGGAUCCGACUUUCCUCAAGACCUUCUCAGUCUAGGGUCUUCUCUGCCAUUUUUAAGCCUUCUAAGGUUCUAUACUCGUUCAUUUAUUUUAGAUCUGUGACAUGUUUGGUCCUUACUUGACGUUUUAAGGGUUUUCCCAAAAUUUUCUUUCUCAAAGCCAUUCAAAUAUGAUUUUUAGGGUUUCUGGAAAAAAUUUCUUUAAACGCUUUCUGACUCUUUUGCUUUAUCUUAUGUGCGUUCAUCUCGCUUGUUUAUUUCUUAUUAUGCUCGAGUUUGUUUUCUUAUUUCGAUUUUUUGCAAGAUCUUUUUUGUUGUUCCUUGUUCACGUGUUUAAUAGGUUGUUUGUCCUUUACUCUUUGCUAUGUGUUCGUUCUCUUUGAUUUUGUUUCACUUUACUAAGUUUUGUUGGUACUCCUGCUAAGUAUUGCUCUUACCUGCUUUGUUUAAACUUCUGUGAUCUGUUUUGAAUUCCAAGAUUUUCUCAAGCAUGCCUUUGAAUCAAAGUAUUUUCUAUCACGCAAGUUUGCCUCUCUCAAUAAUUUCUUACCUCUUAUUCUAUUUGAAACCCUAAAAUUUGGGGGUUUAUCUUUUAGUAUAUGGCACUAGGGUUUCACUUUGGAAUCCUAGGUUUCCAUACUCACUGUGAGCCUGGAACUGAAUUCAGAAUCCUACUUGCCUGUGAUUCUGAAAUUCUCAUUGUUAAGCUUUCCUUUUGUCUUAACUGCAUGCAUAUAUAUGAGGAAAAACCUCCCUUUCAAAUAUUUCACCAGGAUUGAUUUUGAAAUCCCUUUAAUCAUGCUAGUGAUUCAUCACUGAUUUCUUUCGAUUGAAUCUCUUUCACUCUACUACUAUUUAUUUUGAUUCUUUUGUGUAAAAAUCCUAGGCUUGUGAUGUUUUCCUUAAAUACAUGGUCUUGUGUAUCUCUCAUGUGAUUCUGUACCAACAUUUGAAUUAUUCUUUCUUUAUUUACUAGAGGUUCUUAGUGAUUAAAUUGGAUCCUGGAUCCUUUUGACUGAUUUUCAAACGGAUACCUUAUUUUUACUUUAUAAAGAACACUACUAUUCCAUCUUUCCUUAAUUACCAACUAUGUAUGUUACCUUAUUUGUGCACUAUAUGGUUUUCUUACCUUAAUCAGGCCUUAGUAACUGAUUUUUUCCUCCUUAUUCCAUCUUGAUUAGCCGUUUGACUUAGACCCCUUAAUUAAAGGAGUCUAGUUGCCUUAAUUGAUACUAAUUGAUUGGUUCCUAUGUUUUUGUACUCUUUGUCCGCCUCACUUAUUUUCAAAAGCUAUAUAAGGACCUAGUCCUUCCUCUUUCUAUCAUCAAUCGACUCUCAGAAAUCGGAAACACACGAAAAUACACCAACUCACACACUGAACUCACUCUUUUCUUGCAAUACUGCUUUCUAAUCCUGCUUUGCUUGCGCUCUUUUGGAACUGCUGUUUGCAAUUUGGUUCUUUCAAGGAUACUUUUGCUUAGUUAUUUAGUGUGAAACUGGUAUGUUCUUUAUUUAAAUAUUCUGCCUCAUCCCCUAUGUGAUUACUUUACAGUUUCAGACUUCUUGUUUACCUUACAAUUUAUAUGCUGUAAUUUGUGCUCCAUGUCUCUUUCUUUGCUUCUGUUUCUGUUUUGAAUCCUCUACCCCGAUUCCCUUCUAUGUCCUGAGUUAAGCUUUUGGACUGACAAUAUUCUCUUUACUACCCAGACCUUGGCUUGAUCCACAAUGGAUCCUAAUUCUCAAUGCUUGACUAGAAGAGUGGUCAGGGGCGUGCCAACAUCCCAAUUGCUGAGCAUCAUCUCUAGCUUAACCUAUCUCUCCCUACUUCCCUUCCCCUUGUGCAAUUACACCUAUUCCUAGAAUCUUAAGUUUUUCUUCUCUCUUUUGAGCCUUGCCUUGGGACCUUGAGUUCCCUCUGAAUUUGGACAUCUUAGAGUUGGCAUUUCCAUACUGCACUAUGUUCGUGAUUCUGAAAUGUGUUUUGGGGUGUAAGCACCGCCCUGAGUCCCCUUUGAGGCUCUUGGGAACUCCGAGAAACCCCAAAUUAAGAAAGUCUUUUGGAAAUCUGAUCCUAAAAGUUGGUUUAUCUCAUAUUAUUGGACUUUGAGUCAGAAUUAGGCUGAUUAGAUGUAGUUGGAAUGUUCUGAUGUAAUUUUUAAUUUCUCCCUCUUU
rnacentral:lncRNA from 1 species